CUUGGAAUGUUGCUCUCAGCUUAAGCUUCCGGUAGGAGCUGCUCCACGCUCUUCAUAAAUCCGUUCCAGUGUCUUAUGGGCUCUGUUGCGUGCCCCCGCGUGGGUCUCUGGAGCAGCCGGCGGGACACUGUUCUGCAGCACAGGUGUGUCAGUGUCUGUCUGCACCUGACCCAGUGGGCCGUGCCUCCAAGCACACAGAUCCAGGGACAACUGCACUUUCAUUAUGAACAGCUGGGGCAUAAAGAGUCAACAGAAAAAUAUGGUGUCCUUUAGGGAAAAUGACAAUGGCUGUGUCAGUGCUAUUUACCACAUAAGAAUUAUGAAGCUUAAGUGGGAAAGCUGCUGCCAGGGGCCUCCAGAGGCGGGUCUGAGAUGGAAAUAUGCUCAAGGAGGAGUGCCAUUUCUGGAGCCUGAGGCAAACACUCUCUUUUUUCUACUUGGACAGGGCUUUGUCAAUUCCGAUUGGAAUGUCAUGGUCUUCUCCUUCGCCAACGAUGAACCCCACAUCUCUGCAAUCAAACAUCCUUCCACCACAGCGGCCUUCAAGGUGGACUGAGGGAGAGGAAGACAGGACAGUCAAC